UGUUGUAGACAGAUAGGCCACAUUAGCUUUUUUUAAGCCUUUUCUUGUCACCAUACUUUCUUAUCACAGGUGCUGUUCCUCCUGCCUAGAAC